CACUCUGUCACUCAGGCUGGAGUGAAGUGGUGCAAUCACAGUUCACUGAAACCUUGAACUCCUGGGUACAAGGAAUCCUCCUGUCUGGAACUACAGGCUCUCUCUUUGCCUGCUGCCAUCCACGUAAAACAUGACUUGCUCCUCCUUGCCUUCUGCCAUGACUGUGAGGCCUCCCCAGCCACAUGGAACUGUAAGUCCAUUAAAUCUCUCUUUCUUUUGUAAAUUGCCCAGUCUCAGGUAUGUCUUUAUCAGCGGCAUGAAAACAGAGUAAUACAGAAACUUGGUACCAGUAGAGUGGGGGGGGGGGGUGUUGUUGAAAAGAUACCCCAAAAUAAGGAAGUGACUUUGGAACUGGGUAACAGUUCCAAAGAGUUGGAACAGUUU
rnacentral:lncRNA from 10 species